CGCGUAGGCGGGUCGGCAAGUCUGUGGUGAAAUCCCCCGGCUUAACCGGGGAAUUGCCAUGGAUACUGCCAGUCUCGAGGAGGGUAGGGGCACCUGGAACUAGCGGUGGAGCGGUGAAAUGCGUUGAUAUCGCUAGGAACUCCGGUGGCGAAGGCGAGGUGCUGGACCCUUUCUGACGCUGAGGCGCGAAAGCCAGGGGAGCAAACG
rnacentral:rRNA from 1 species